rnacentral:rRNA from 1 species
AGUGAACGCUGGCGGUAGGCCUAACACAUGCAAGUCGAACGGCAACACAGGAGAGCUUGCUCUCUGGGUGGCGAGUGGCGGACGGGUGAGGAAUACAUCGGAAUCUGCUCAGUCGUGGGGGAUAACGUAGGGAAACUUACGCUAAUACCGCAUACGACCUUCGGGUGAAAGAGGGGGAUCGCAAGACCUCUCGCGAUUGGAUGAGCCGAUGUCGGAUUAGCUAGUUGGCGGGGUAAUGGCCCACCAAGGCGACGAUCCGUAGCUGGUCUGAGAGGAUGAUCCGCCACACUGGAACUGAGACACGGUCCAGACUCCUACGGGAGGCAGCAGUGGGGAAUAUUGGACAAUGGGCGCAAGCCUGAUCCAGCCAUACCGCGUGGGUGAAGAAGGCCUUCGGGUUGUGAAGCCCUUUUGUUGGGAAAGAAAUCUUUCAGGCUAAUACCCUGGGAGGAUGACGGUACCCAAAGAAUAAGCACCGGCUAACUUCGUG